GCUCUUCUUGAUAACAAAACGCCAAAGGGCAAAUUCUCAAUCAGUGAAACAGUCAAACGAUCCAGCUUUCCAUCACAUGUAAUGCCUUGUUAGGCCAAACCCUAGUUUCACCUCUUAAAACUAUUCUGUAUCUGGCUGCAGGUGCUGUGUUCCCUGCGCUCCCAUGUGCAGGACUAUCUGGCUGCAGUCAGUAAUAUCGCGUGCUGGAGUUACUGGAGCUGUACGGAAAACUUGGGGUUGAUACAUCAUGUAUGAACCUUUGACAGGUCUAGCAGUGGACUAGUGGACUUUCCUGACAUCUUCAGAGGUUUCAUCCUCCUGGAUGCUGUGCUCCUGUGAACCACUUCUUUGCCCUGGUCAGAAGGGCUGUUGGUCAGGCAGCGCAUGACGUUGCGCAGUGCCAUUCCUCCGCAGCGAGGCGACGCGCAGUGCUGACUUACCCGAGCCAUCUGCGGUGGAGCCAGCUCGCAACCGGCAGCAGCAGCAGCAGCUGAGACCGUCAGAGAGCCCCUGAGAUUUGGAUCGCAAAUGUGGAUUAUUGCUUCAGGAUGAGUCAGAAUACACUGCAAGGAAACAUAGAGAAGAAUGCAACCUUUAGAAGAUUAUGCCUAAGAAUAUGCCUAUGAAGGGAAAAGUGAGAGCACUGAGUAACUGAACAGCUUGAUAUGUCAGUCAUCAGACAUCACUGUCGGUCUGUAAGGAAGGAUUUUUGCUUCCUGAUGCAACUGGUACAGCACGGACCUGAUCCCUAUAACCUCGCAAGCCAGAAACAGCUACAAGACAACAGUUGGUGGUAAACAUUUGCUUUUAUAAAAAUGUCUCAUCUAU
rnacentral:lncRNA from 1 species